AUCCUAGGAUUAUGAAAGCUAUAUGCGCUGUGAGAGAGCUUUGCGUCCCAUUAGCUAGUUGGAGAGGUAACGGCUCACCAAGGCGAUGAUGGGUAGCCGGCCUGAGAGGGUGAUCGGCCACAAGGGGACUGAGACACGGCCCUUACUCCUACGGGAGGCAGCAGUGGGGAAUAUUGGACAAUGGACCAAGAGUCUGAUCCAGCAAUUCUGUGUGCACGAUGAAGUUUUUCGGAAUGUAAAGUGCUUUCAGUUGGGAAGAAAAAAAUGACGGUACCAACAGAAGAAGUGACGGCUAAAUACGUGCCAGCAGCCGCGGUAAUACGUAUGUCACAAGCGUUAUCCGGAUUUAUUGGGCGUAAAGCGCGUCUAGGUGGUUAUAUAAGUCUGAUGUGAAAAUGCAGGGCUCAACUCCGUAUUGCGUUGGAAACUGUGUAACUAGAGUACUGGAGAGGUAAGCGGAACUACAAGUGUAGAGGUGAAAUUCGUAGAUAUUUGUAGGAAUGCCGAUGGGAAAGCCAGCUUACUGGACAGAUACUGACGCUGAAGCGCGAAAGCGUGGGUAGCAAACAGG
rnacentral:rRNA from 1 species